GACGAACGCUGGCGGCGUGCUUAACACAUGCAAGUCGAACGGAAAGGCCUGCUUUCCCUUGUGGAUUGCGGGUACUCGAGUGGCGAACGGGUGAGUAACCCGUGAGUGAUCUGCCCCCAACUUGGGUAUAAGCCUGGGAAACUGGGUCUAAUUCCCGAUAGGACUGCAGGGUGGUGCCUGUGGUGGAAAACGAUUUUCUAGUGUUUGGGGUUGAGCUCGCGGCCUAUCAGCUUGUUGGUGGGGUAAUGGCCUACCAAGGCGGCGACGGGUAGCCGGCCUGAGAGGGUGGACGGCCACAUUGGGACUGAGAUACGGCCCAGACUCCUACGGGAGGCAGCAGUGGGGAAUAUUGCACAAUGGGCGGAAGCCUGAUGCAGCGACGCCGCGUGGGGGAUGACGGCCUUCGGGUUGUAAACUCCUUUCGACCGCGAGGAAGCCACCUGGUUGGAAGGGUGGUGACGGUAGUGGUAGAAGAAGCACCGGCUAACUACGUG
rnacentral:rRNA from 1 species